rnacentral:lncRNA from 1 species
AAAUUAAAUAUCUCUACAAAUGUUAUCACUCAUUUAGCCUAGCUUCUGUAACAUCUUUUCUAAAUGAUCUAACGCACGACAAUUUUCUCUAAAAUCUAUUACAACUUUUGCUUUUGCUUUUGCUACAAUAAUAUUGUAUGCAUGUAGAGAAGAUUUUAGCAAAAUUUUUAAGUUUUUUUUUAAAUAACUCUACUCAAAUGUGAGCACUCGUGGGGCUAAAUGUAACCUUCAGUAGAUGGAUAAAUUUAUGUUCCAUUAAUAUAUUCAACAUAUUUAAUGCCAGUUGCAAUUUGCAGAUCCAUCGCAAAUGGCUCCAACUUUUUUAUGAUAAUGAUAAUAAUGUGCCCAUCUUUAUAUAAGUUCCAAAAAUUAAUAAAGGGAUGUCUUUUUAUUAAAAAGUAGGGACAUGCAUUUUUUUUUCUUUUUUUUUUUAAGAAAAUAUCUUCCUUGAUGUGUAAAUGAGAGUACCACUUAAGCUUUUUGCAUGCAUGGAAAUAAAUGGCUCAGCAAACGUUUAUUUAAUAGUUGCCACCAUUCCAAAAGGGAAGUACAAAAGUAAGAGAAUUUGGUUUUUACCUUCAUUAUUUUCUCUCUACUUUGAUUAAAUAGUGGUCACAAGAUGAGGAGGUCACAUGACUCACAUCAAAGGAAUAAUUGUAGUAAUUUUUAAAAGUAAAAAGAUGGGAAAAAUAUAAAAUUCAAUCAGUAAAGGUAAUUUAACUGUUAUGAAAGAACUUGUUUAAUUGCUGGGAUAUCAGGUGCUUCUCAUUCAAAAUGGUUCCCGCUUUAAUUUGUUUGAUAAUAUAAAUUUAUUUUUUCUCAGGGCCUGAUUUGGAAUAUGUGGCCCAUUCAAGGCCCAACCCCGGCCCAAAAACCCAAAGAAUAAUUGGGCUGGAUAUGAAAAUUAGUCCAUUUAUUUAUAUUUUUAUUUAAUUUCACAAAAAAUUGAAUUUUUUACAAAAGCCCAAAACUGUUUCUUUUUUACUUUUUUAACUGCGAAACGCCGUCGCACUUUGCAAGAGAGAAACCAAAACCCUAAACCCAUUUCCCCACCGACCGAGAGAGAGAGAGAGAGAGAGAGAGAGAGAGCGAUGAUGGCGUGGUGCGCCGCGAGGUCGGCGGCGGCGGCGGCGGCGGUGGCGGCGCCGGGGGCCGACCUGCGGGCGCUGCGCGCGCGCGCGCCCGUGGCGGCGGCGGGGCUCUGCUGCGUCUCCGUGGCCGGCUCCCUCCUCCGGUCCUCCUCCUCCUCGCGCAAAUCCCACAACCCCUUCGCCUCCCUCAACGCGACCCUCUCCUCCUCCGCCAGCGCCGCAGGUACCGGAAAAGGAAAGAUUUUUGUAGGGUUUGUUCUCUUGUUACAGUGUUGCUUCGUUUUAACAAAGUUAUUGUGCAAUUGGUUUUCAACGAUUAUGAUUAGAUGUUUGCAACUGCGUAGUGUAUCCGGCUUGUUGGAAAAAAUUAUUCUGCAAAAAAGGAAAACAGAUCUGCGAAAUGUGACUAUUUAGAGCUUCUCUAGCUGUGUAAGCGGUAAGCCAUUCUUUGUAAGGGAGAAUCAUGAACCAUCCGGUAUGCCGGGAAUUAAUCUUUAGCAUAUGAUUAAGCUAAUUGUAAGUAAAAUUCUUGAAUCUUGAAUCAUUUUAGUUGUCGUAGUGUCGCUUGUUUUUGAUAAGUCAAUUUUUGUUUUCUCGCAUUCCUAUGUGCACUGUUCGUUACGUUGAAAUCUUGACCAUUAAAUUUGAGGUAUAAAAGGAAAAAACAAUCGAAACAUUCAUGGAGUAUUCAGUAUUAGAAUUUUAUGAAAAAUAAUUAGCUCAAGCUUUGCAAUCCGAUGCCCUGUUUUUAGAUAAGAAGGAGGCUGUCCAGACAGAAAAUGCGCCUGCGGCGUUAGGCUCGUACUCGCAGGCUAUCAAAGCCAAUAACCUUGUUUUCGUCUCUGGUGUUCUGGGCCUUGUUCCCGAGGUUUGUCAUCUCUAGUUCAUGGGGUUAAUUCUAGAAAACUAAGUGCAUUUGCGGCGAAAUAGCAUUCUUUCAAUUUCUAAUUGGUGCACUUUUUGUGAUCCGUACUUUUGUAGACAGGAAAGUGUAUCUCUGACAGCAUUGAAGAGCAAACUGAGCAGGUAAGCAAGUCGAAUUUGAUUAUUCCGUAGAUUAUCAGUUACAUUUCGUAGUUUUCUUGUUUUGCAAUUUGCUUUUGUCUUUUUAACGAGUACUAGAAGCGAUACUGACCUAAUGAAGGUAUAGUAAACAUAGUGUGAGAUGUAAAAUUCCUAUGUUCAAUGUUUAUAUUGACGCUGCAUUCACUUUAAAGUGUCAAUAUGUUUGUUUUAAGGCAAACUUUUUGAUAGUAAUGCGUAAUGCCUGAUCAUAUGUGGUUAUGUACUGCAUCUGCAACAUGUGAAAAGCCUUUUAGUUUUAAGAUGCUUAUAUUAAUCUAUUAAAAGUGUAGUAAAAAUGGUCCUUGUUUUUGCAUUAACUUUGUGUAUAGACUAAGAAAUAACUGAACGGAUGAUAGUGAUUUUUUUUUCCUCCUUCCUGUAGAUGAUUUCCCGAAAUUUUUGGUGAGUUUGGUGUGAAUGAUAGCAUAGUCAUUUGAAGCAUUUACUUAUUACUUGUAAUUUAAGAUGGCAAAGUUCUCAAGCAAAGUUUUGGGAGUAUCUUGUAAGAACUCUUAAAACCCUCCAAUGUGAGAUAUGUUUGGGCCUCAGGUUUUAACAUUUUUGGCCUGCAUGUAGCCCUAUUGAUUGACACCCAAAAGUUCCCCUGUUGAUCCAAGGCGCUGAUGUUAUUACAGAGUCAAUAAGUGUCUGACUUGACUUUAAUUUAGCAUAGCUUUUCGUUAGGGUAUAGGUUGGACGCUCUAGGCUGGGACUGGGCCAUUUGUUUCAAACCCUCCCCUCGCCAAACUAGGGCGUGAUACUAGCCCAGCACAAUAUAGAUCGCAAGACGUGUUGAAGAUCUUGAGUUUCAGCCUAUUUAUCUAGUAUCAUCUCAUACUCACUAUCAUUUAGUGUCUUCUUUCCUUGGCUUUUGAAUCAACUUUCAUUAUGGGAAGCAUAACCCGUGCAUUUGACGAAUAGAUCAUGAGCUUCACUGAGAAGCAAAAGUCAACUUUUGAACCCCAGAUACAAAAGAUUCAAUUUUGAAUUCUCUUCCAGCUAAGCCAAAAGAUGUUGGGGAAUUUAGUCAGCAGUUGGCGCUUCUUGAAAAGCUAUACAUGAACACACCUACACAUGCUUAAGGCAGUCAAUCAUGCUAACAUACCUUCUAUAUUGAAGCUUAAUUGUUUCAACCAAAAAGAUGAAAACGAUUCCGUUUAUGUCCCACUUAUUCUUGUUAUUAUGUAAUCUAAUUUUGCUGUUAAUUGUUCAACUUAGGAAAUUUAGAUAUGAGAAACAUUAAGAAAUUCAGAGAUGAAAAACAUAGAUGUUGUUUAUUAUGUAAUCUAAUUUUGCUGUUAAUCGUCCAACUUAGAAAUUUAGAGAUGAAAAAUAUUAAUUUUUAAUCCCUUUUUGUCACCUUUUUUCUUCUUUGGACUUUGGGGUGCUUUUCUGAUUUAGAUUCCUUUAUGCAUUUGGUCAAAUUAUAUAUUAUUGUCAAAACUUCUGAUAAUUGUUUGACACAUAUUCUUGUGAUAAAUUUUUAUAAGAAUUUAUGUUAUGGCAUUUCAAGACUUCAAGUUAUAAUUGAUGGUUCUUUCAAAAUAUGUAGAUCAUUUCGCAAUUUCUUAUUCAUCUUACCAAUAUGUUCUUCUAUUUCAGUAUUUUGCCGCAACUUUUCUAAUUAUUUGGUCUCUUGACUUUUUGGAUAACUACCUAACAGGUUUUGAAGAAUAUGGGGGAAAUAUUGAAAGCGAGUGGUGUCAGCUACUCGUCUGUUGUAAAGACAACGAUAAUGUAUGCUCUACUUCUUUCUGUUGUUAUGAGAUACAAAACCAUCAUCUAAUGGUUGGGGCAGAAGGAAAUUUUAGUGGAAGGCAUUUUUGUUGUCAUUGUUAUGGCUUAGGUUACUCUGUGCUGUCUUGUUUGUUUGCAAAUGUUGUUUGUUUGGAAUUCAAGGAAUAAGUUUUAUUCCUGGAAGAAGUAUGAUAGUGACACAUCAUAUAUUAAAACUUUGCAUUCAAGGUGUCACUUUGUUGUGUGAAAUAAGCGCCUUAUAAUAAGCCUCAUUCCAACCUUAUUCUCCAACUUUUUGCUGACUGCUAAGAAUCUUCCCUUCUGCAGGUUAGCUGACUUGCAGGAUUUCAAGAAAGUGAACGAGAUAUAUGCGAAAUGUAAGUUCCUAAACUUUGAAUAUAUCUUGGGUUUGUUGUUUGUUCUCAAAAAAUUAGCAAUAAGUGCAUUGACUUUGAAUGAGGUACUCUGAAGAAUGGUUAUUCUUUAUUGCUUUGAGGAUUGUUCGCUAUUACUGCGAUAUUGUAUGAGAUUGUAAUUGAUGAGAUUAUAGAAAGUACAUAUCAUUUGAAUUGUACUAAUUAUAUCUUGUAUGAUGCAAUGAAAAAAAAAAGGCUUUUUUGCAUUGAUUUGUAUACUCGUGUCACUAAUAAAUUCGUGGGAUGAUUGAUUUCUGAAAAUCUUGGUCAUUUAUAUUUUGAGUUAUGCUGCACCUUAUUUUGGAGCAUUUCAAUUUUCAACGUUGUAGCUGUCUUAAUUUUUCAUACAUUCUGAUAUGUUUAAGAACAUGCAUAUUUGGUCGUAUGUCUGUAAAUCUCUCGUCUGUCAAGUGUUUUAUAGCUACUCCAUUAUAAAACAACAAUUUUGUCAUGCAGAUUUUCCGGCCCCAGCCCCAGCACGUUCAACCUACCAAGUGGCAGCCCUACCAAUGAAUGCCAGGAUCGAGAUCGAGUGCAUUGCUGCCCUCUAGAGCUCCUCUACUCUCAAUGCCUAAAAGGCUUUAUCCUGUUUCUAGAUCUUUAAUGAAUAAUUGCAUCAGGAUGCUUUGGUCACCUUGCUAUUGAACUUAAAAGGUUCAGCUUCUAUUUCAUUUAACCAAUGCUUGCUUCACUGAGGCGUGUGGUGAAAACUACUUCUAGAAACAAGAUUGUAGUUUUUCUUUUUUGGGAGAAAUGAGCAGGGCUUAAUGAUAUGAGAAAUUCGGCAGGGUUGAUAUGGAUGCUGAAACAGGUUUAUGAUGAUAACUUUGUUUAUUGGGAUUUUCCUUUGUGGUUCAUGAUUUCAGUGUAGGAGUUCAAUAGAAACUAUGUUGACAACCUGGGUGUUCUGAUAUUCCGAAUAGUAGCUUCAAUUACAAGGUGAUUUAUCAUAUUCCAAGUAAAAGUGUAGAAGAGGCCAUAUAUUCUAUGCAAUUGUAGACAUCUUCUCGUACUCCCCAUGAAUGAAUUACCACGAAGCCCUGUAGGGUCCAUUCGGAUACACGAAUAUCUCGUUUAUCAUGUCCUUUUUGUUUUCUUACGUGGUUUUCGUAAUUGGUUUGGUAAUUGACUUGAUUGGGAGCGGGGAAGAAGAAUGUCUGUAGCAUGCAAUGAAUGUAUAGCCUUUUACUUUUUUUUUCAGCAGAGUAUGGUAAAUUAAUUAUGAUUAUGAUAAUUUGUCAAGUUUUGAAGUUGCAAUCACAAAAGAAAUUCUCUAUCAUUCACAAGGUUUGUCCAAUUAAGUCAUUCCAACAUUCAAAUUGGCCCUUAAAUGAGCCCACAUAUGUCUUAGGCUAUCUAUUGAAGUAUGCAUAUCCUACCUUUCACCCAUCCACCAUCCUUAUUCAGCGUACAGUGAAUAAACAUGAAUAGUCAACUUUGUUUGAUGUACGAUACUUUUCUUUAUACGUAUUGAAGUACUGAUACUUAUAUAAUAUUCAGAAAUAUAUUUAUACAUGUGUAAAUCAAACAUCACAUAUAUAGGAAAAUAACAUGAUGGUAUUAAAUAUAAUAAUAAAGGACAAGGUUUAAUUCUAGUUAUAUCCAUAUUCUAGUUGCUUCCGUGUGCUUCUUAUUGUGGAUACAUUGCAUGAGAUUAGAUGGUCAGCUUUGUUCUUAAUUAACUUAUUUACAUUACGAGUUGUGGAUAUCCCAGUAAUGUUUCUUUUCUUUCUGAAAUAUAAUAAGGUUUCUGCAGUCAAUGCUACAGGAAUGAAGUAACCAAUCUACCGCGCUUGCGAGUUGCAGUUCCUCUUCUCAGGUGUGAAUUCUCGAAUCUGUGGAUCAGAAAUCUGGUAAGUUAACUAUCAUUGUCAUAUCGAAACCUGUUAUUAAAUGUUACUCUUAUCUCUUCUUUCUUGUUUUUCCAUGUAUGUUGUUUCCUUGCAUUUGAGCAUGUGACAUUUCGUAAUUAAUUGCAACCUUCCAACUUUUGGCCGCCAUGACAGUUGUCUCCUUUACCUGUCCAGUGUAUGAAGAUUACAUAGUAAGAUCACAAUGGUAUAUUUGUCUAUAAUCAAAGUUUCAUCUUGCUGUCGCUGUUAUGAGGAAGAAAACUAAGAGAACAUGUGAGAAACACUAAGGUAGGGUAGUAUUUCCAUUUGCGAAAGCAAGUCGCUUUCGCGAGGACUUGUUAUGCAGAUCCAACAAAGGUUACAAAGCCAUUGCUUUCUCUUUAUGUAGUAUGUUAUGCGAAACUUCCGCGAUUCAUCUCGACAUGCUGACUCGUUCCGUGCCAUGUGCACAAUCCUUGAUGUAUGCUACAUGGAUGUUCAGUAUCUCUUUCUCUCUCAUUUCCUAAAGGAUGUAGAUAAUUGUUGUUUAUUUGUUGGAAUUAUUAUAAUAUUAUGAUAAACCUUCUUUUUGAACUAUGUAUUCUUUUGAGAUGGUUCCUUUAAUUUGUAGCCAACCCAACAUUGCAUGUGAUUGAUCCAUAAAAUAAGUGCCACUGGUUUUAGGAAUACCAUAGUUAUGGUCCUAUCACUAUCAAACUCAGUUAAGAAAUUUUUUCAUUAGUAGUACAUAAUGAAGUAACAAAAAAAAGCCAUGGGAGUUGAUCAUUCACUCUCUUAAGUGAGUUGAAACCAUGUUUUCUUAAAGAUUAUUUUUGGAAUUGGGCAAGGUUUAGCAAUUCUUGCUUUACCAACUAUUUUCAUGCCAAAUUUUCUUCUUUUUUCUCUACAUCAAAAUCUUGAAAUAUCCAAUCAUUUUAAAUGCUUCCCAAUUCUCUUGACCAACAUGAGCACAUAAUGGUUGGUGAAGUAAAUGACAAUAAAUGAAACUCUUAACUUUAGCUAAGUGAUGUUUACACUUGGUACCCCCAAAAAUAUGUGUUGUUAACAUAUUGGUCCACACAAACUUUGUGAGGAAAGUACAACUCCUAUACCACAGGUGAAAUUUUACACCAUAGUAAUUUGAGAUUCUUUCCACAUGCUUUAAUGAUAGCUCUGAGCAUCAAAUCUAGGAAAAUUUUUGUGAAUAGAUAUAUCAACUCUUCGUUGCCAUUAGUUCUUAGUGAGCACCAGGAUAUAGCAUAUCUAGGAGACCAUUAUAGCAAACAUUUUUGAGUCACGUUGAUGUUGCCUAUGCCCAAAUAAAUGUAGGGCAAGGUGACAAAUCAUUAAGAUUCAAAAAAAAAAAAGAAGAAGAAGAUGAAAUUCAGGUAAAAAUUUAUGGGGCCUCUUCAUUUAUAAGCUAAUCUAAGAUAAGCCCCUUUAUUUUUCUUUGCUUAUCAACAGUUUUAUUUUGAUUUGAGUUGCUCCCCCGGGGUAAAUUAAAAAUUUUAUCAAAUUUAUUAAAUUUGGUAGUGAAUUUUUAAAUUUAAUGACUCGAACUGCUUUCCAACGAAAUGGAAUUUUGGAUUCCAUUAAGUUGAUGUCUACCUACUGAUCGAGCCAUCGAAUUUAACAAAAUCUUAAUCUAAUCAUCAAGAAUGAUUCAAAUCAAAGAAAAUAAUAACUUAACAAAAAAUUCAAUAAAAAAACAUAAAUUUGAGGGACUUGUAGCCUAUAAGUGGAAUAUUCUAUCCAUUAAAAUUAUAGAUAUUAAGUCUAAAAGCAAAAAUGUAACUCCUAUUUUAUAAUAACAAAAUAAAUAUAUUAAUAUCAAAUAAGUUAUAUAAGGAUAAUUUGUUCCAAUAUCUAAUAGAGUUGUAGAGAAAAAUAGUUAUUUUAUAUUAUUUUAACAUAGUAUUAGAGUGGAGAAUAUUGAGUUUCAACUUCCCCAGAUUCCAGCUCCUAGAAAGUCGAGUCAUCGUGAGUAUUAAAUAGAUAAUAAUAAAUUACCAUAUUGUAGUAACUUAUGUUAAUAAUAAAUUACCAUAUUGUAGUAACUUAUGUUUAUAUAUACCUUGGCUCGUUUUUGGCUAAAACGAUCUGCUUAUUCUAAGCUCCUUCAUUUUUGUUAGAUCUUGAUUCAAUUCUUUUUUUAGUGUGUGUGUGUGUGUGUGUGUGUGUGUGUGUGUGUGUGUAUAGAGUCCGGCUAUGGUGCUUGUAAAAAUACGAAACACUUGAUGCUUGUAAAUUUUUUACCAUUAGAUUUAUGAUCAUUUUCAACCGUUAGAUUAUACUAUUCAACCAACCACCACUCAACCCUAGGGAGCCCACGUCAUCCUAACUGCACAUUGCUUAAUCCAAUGGCUAAAAAUCUACAAGCACCAACAACUUGGUACUUUUAAAAGCAUUGGAGCUCAAUUAUAUAUAUAUAUAUAUAUAUAUAUAUAUANUCUCUCUCUCUCUCUCGCAUCUACUAGUAAGUGUAGUACUCACAUAAGCCAAGUUUUUUCUCCAACAAUCUCUCUCUCUCUCUCUCUCUCUCUCUCUCUCUCUCUCUAAUAUGUAGUACUCAGAUAAGCCAAGUGUCUCUCAAGAGACACUCUCUCUCCUAUUCUCCAAUGCAAUUUCAACACCUAUAUUUAUACACAUGUUAAGAAACAAGGAUUAAAAUGGCGACAGGGUUGGAUAAGUCUUAAGAUUGCCUCAAUCAAAAUCGAGUCACACUGAAAACGCUUUUUGUCACCUUAUAUAUUUGAGAGGCCACCUAAUUAUAUUCUAUCCAUUACUUCUUCGUCCUCAUAAUUUGUUUCCUACGUAGAAGCUUACUAUUUGUCAAUAAUUAUUUCACCAACUUCAUAAUUCCUAUUUUAAUUUGAAUCUGCUUCGUCUAGCUCAAACAAUCAGCCAAAUAUACUUAAAUUCAAUUAUUAUUAUUAGAAUACGUGACUUCAUGUAUCGAUAUGGGCAUACAUAAAUAUAUCGCUAGAAGGGACAAGCGACUCUGCAUAGUCUAGCUAGUUCUCUUGAUGAGUUUCGAUAAAAUAAAAUUAAAAAAAUAUUGUUCAAAUAGAAUUACUCGAAGAAGCACUACAGUUUCGAACUUUAUGUGAUUAAUCUCAAAGCCCUUAUGCACACAUCUACAAAGCAAAGAACCCUCUAGCUAUAUAGCACCCUCCUCAGUAUCCUACACUGGAAAAAGCUCCACUAAUGAAGGCCAAAAAGAAAAAAAACAAAGCAAAAGAAUCAAAGGUACGAUCCUCUUGCCGAUUCCUUAGUAACAGUAAAUUGGGACCACUACACCGCUCAUGCAUCAUGAACUAUACUAUGCAAAGGACUCGUGUAAUUAAAGUAAAAGUAAAUUGGUACAGUAACUAGGGAUGGAUCGAUCUCAUACUCCUCUCUCUCUCUCUCUCUCUCUCUCUCUCUCUCUCUCUUCUGCACCAUUCAUGAGAGAUAUGAGUUACUGCGUACGUAGUUUUCCAACGUCUAAAGCUCCUCAUCUCCUUUUUCCAACCGCUUCAUGGAAGAAGCACAUGUCAACCAUUUGAUCUCUUGUGUUUGUUCAGGUUCCUUUUAUUCACGAGUUUGUGCUCACAGGUUAAUUAUAAUCUAGUACGUACUAUCCCGACAUUUCAAGUCACUUUCUAUUUGGAUAUAUGAACAUCUUAUUUCGACACAUCUCUUCUGUUUGCUAAAGAAUAAUUAAUGUAGCAAUUAGUAGGCUAAGAGAGUGAUUAAUCAAAUGUGCAUAACACUACACUAUAUUCGAUCUUCCAAUUAUUUUCUUUGUAGGUAAAAUACAUUAUACUGAGAUCUUAUGGAGACCUUGUAGGAGAUUAAAAGAAAACCCUCAUUGCGCAUAUUUUAUCAUGAGUAGAUGACUUAUUCUGGUAUCAAAAUCUAUAGGCGCUUCAUUUACGCACUUUAAUUAGUUGCUAAACUCUAACGCUAGCUUUGUCACUCUAAUUAAGUAUGAAAGUUGAAAAACUAAUUACAUGGUUGAAGUUAAAAUGUAUGAGGGACCAACUUGCAAUAUCAGGAUAUACAGUAAAGGGACUGUCCAUACACUUCACAAUAUAUUCUCUCUACCCCACUCAAAGGUGUUUGAUUGGGUUCCAUGAGGCAAGGGGACUGAGCAACUUUGAGGGGACCAUUAGCUCACAAGAACAAAAAAUGGCCGACCAAAUUAUGUGUGAAUGGAUGUGACACAUUAACAACAAAGUCAAUUUGGUGGUAAUUUUAUACACUUUACAAGGGCUUUUGUGACAACACCAAUGGAUGGUUUUAUUUGAAAAGGUUGAUGGAUUUGGAAUAUUCUAUGGUGACUUUUUUGUGUAGAGGGGGGAUGUGUAUUCAAAUUGAAUAUUGCCAAAGAUACUACGGAGAUUUUGUUUUUGGAUUCGUAUUAUAUGAUGUUUGUAAUUAAGGUAGAUAUGUACAAGAAUGUUUGAUUUUUCAAAGGUGGAAGCUUAAUAAUAAGCUCAAAUUUAUGGAAGUGUUGUUUUAGAUAUAGUUCUUAUUAUUCGAAAAAUGAGGUAGGUGGAUGGUUAAUUAGGUUCGAGGUUCGAUUAUGGUGGCGGUGGUUGGGAGUGGUGGAAAUGUUAUCGUACCACUAUAUUUGGUCCCGGAAAUUGACAGUAAAGAUUACGACAAGCGAUUGCAGCAAACUAAGCACUGUAGUUAUCUCUUAUCGAUGUCUAUUGGUAGUGGUUGCAGAGAUUGAGUAACAACACCUCGAUAACAAAUGUAACAGUAGUAAUUCGCGGCUCGUGCUAUAAUUGAUGGUUGUGUGGAAUGUUUUGAAUCAGGGAGAUGCAAAUGAUGAUAAAUGGAGUGGGCACUGGUGGUUGCUAUAACUACAGUGGGAAGUGGUACUAGGGCAUUGUGUGUGGGGGGGGGGGGGGGAAUGUUUUUCCCCCACCACUUAGUAUGUUUUGGGGCUUUGAGCUCUUUUACCUUAUUCUUCUUAAGCUAAAAUUAGAUCUUAUAACUAUAUCUGUGUCUCUUCUCAAUUUUAUACGAUGUAGAACAAACAACUAAUACAAAAUGAAAUGUGAAAAAUUCUAAUUAUUUGUUUCUUAAUGCUAGUAUAGUUGACAAAGAUACAAGUUUCUCUAGGCUCUAACGAAAAGUUAAAUUAAUGUAGUAUAAGUCAUCUUAACUAAAAACAUAAAGUAAAAUCAAUCGAUUGACAAGUUAUUGAGCAUGUAUAUGAUCGAUCUGUCUCAGAAAAUGUUAAUUAUCAACUUAAUGCAUGGUUAUAAGUUAGUGCACUUAAUUUGUCCUUGAUUUUUUUUUUGGCUUUUUAGUAGGCAUCAUAUUUAUCUCUACCACCACAUGAAAUAGCAUUUAAUUUGUUUUGCCCCUACUUGCAAUUGAUACAUCGAUAUAUCGGGAUAUAAAGUAUACUAUUUAGUUCCUAAAUUUGCACAAAAGCUUAUGAUCAUGAGAAAUCAUUUGUAAUGAAGGUUUUGGUAAGAGGAAUCUAUAUUAAUAUUCAAAGAAUAUAUAUAUCUAGAUGCAUCUUGGUGAAAUAUGAAACACUUAAAAAAUAUUUAUAUUUUACCUGUCUCCAUUGCCCAAUUUAAUGCACGCGCACCAUCAUUAAAUUAUAUUUGAAUUUCAUUAGAAGUAAGCAUGCCCUAUAUAAUAGUCCUAUUAAUUUGGAAAUGCUUUGUCUUGUCUGCCGCGAACGAACUGGCCCCGCCGUAAAUAUUUCUAAGGCGAGUGGUCAUUUAUAGUACAGAUUAAAUUUGUUUAAAUUUUAUUUUGAAAUCAGGAUUACGAGUUCAUGGCUUCCAACAGACUCAAGAGUUUGUUGUUAAUUACCCCACACUUUCGGUGUUAAGAAACCCUCGAUUAAGAGACCAAAUAUAAAUGCUGAUUAUAAAAGAGACAAAACAGGCAAAUAAAAUUUCAUUAAUAUAAUUUACCGUGUAUAUGGCUUAAAUAGGGGCAUUCCCCCACUAUACAUAGGCUUUAUAAAACUAAAUACUCAGUUUAUAGACUUGAUGGUCGAUUGAUUGCUCAGUUUAAUGACAUAGCGGUCGUUUGAAAUAGGUGAGGUUGAGUUUAAUUUUAAUUUGCUCAGUUUAACGACAUGUCGGUCAUAUCUGAACUAGAUCUGCUCAGUCUAGCGACUUGACGAUCGAUUAAAGUUGAGAUGCUCAGUUUCGUUAUAUGGCGGUCGGUUUGAAUUAUGGUGCUCAGUUUAAUAACAUGGCGGUCGAGUGUUCAGUUUAAUGACUUAAUUGAGUGUUCAUGGUCCUUUUUGUAGUGAUUUUUGGAUCUCUUUAUUUUGGGAAAUAAUUCAAAAUUUUUUGAAGAUAAGAUAAGAAUAUUUUUUUUUAUCUCUUUCCUUGUUGACAUUUAAUCCUCUAAGAAAAGUAGUAAUUAAAUUAAAUCACCAUUAAUUUCUUUCCUUCUACAUUCUCAAUUUGUAUUCGAAUUUGAUUUUUUUUUU